UGCAAGCCUUUGGCUUCAUCACUUCUGCUUCUGUUGUGCUCUCUCUUGCCUCUCCAACUACACAUGGGAUCAGACAGCUGCCUGCCAGCAGUUGUACUUAACACCGCAUCUGAAAACUCUUUGCACCCUUAAUUGUUCUUAAUUUUUUAACACACUGAGUGAUUACUAAAACUAAUUGGGCAGAUUUAAAGCAGUAGCAAGAUGUACGGAAAUGGUAUAUACCUCUCCCCACCAGAUCUAAAUCCUUGUCAUAGCAAAAAUGUCCAAGGGAAUGCAUGUUUAAAUCAAGCCUGUCACUUAAAAAGGAGCAAUGUAAUGCUAAAAUGAUAAUUUCUUUAAGGUGAUGCUAGAUGAAGCUUACAGAUAAGAUGCUUAGCAGCAACGUAUCCCGAGUAGACCAAAUCUUCUAUACAGUCAUGAUCUCAAUAAUCCUAUCAAUGUCCUAUUAUAUUCAAACAUGUUUCAACAUCUUGAUCACCUUCAUUCUUUCCUGCCAACAUUCCCUGAAUCUCUUACACUGUAGUUAAAAAAACAGCUUAUCCUAAUAGUGCUGUUUUCUUCCACAUCUGCUUUGGAAACAUUUGCUUAAUAACAACGGGAAGAGUGCUGCCCUUUUCCAGAUGACCUGUUGGCCUGAACCAGUAUCUCAGCUAAUUUAAUCCACGAGGGUGGGGCUGUGUAACAAGGGCUGAUAGUUAUCUGUAAUGGGUUUGCUGAUUCUAGAUCAGCAGGUGAUAUAUCCUCAUAUCUUCUCCUCUCCUUUGGAUUUCCUACUGCAGUUGUUUUAAUGCUUCCUUUAUCAUAACUGGGGAAAAAAUUAUAACCUACAAUAGAGAUAUGUCGAUUUUACCCUAAACAGAACUUGCACCUCACUGAAUAGCUAAGGAUUUAUGCAAAAUUAGUUGCCCCUUUUAUUCCAUCCUGUCCUUGGUACAGGGUUCUAGGAACACACGGUUGUUUACGGAAAACAUACUAUCAUAGGAAAUAAACACAUAUCUUGUUCCAUGGCAGAUAAGCCUCACUGGGCACGUUUCCCAAAAAUCCACGGGUGCUUAUGAUGCAAAAGCUCGUCUGCAAGAGCUAAAAUUAAAUCCACCGUGAGGAAACGCCACUUUCAAAUCUGACCCAAUUUAUUCUCUGGGGGUGGAACCAGGAGGGUAAAGAAGAGAGAAAUAGCCUUCAUCAUUUGUAGCCACCACUUUAAUUAUGACCUCCUUCCCUUUGCGGGCACAAUUCUCUCUCCCCUCAUUCAGCUGAGAUUUUGAAAACAAAGUUAAGCUGCUUUUUAUGUCUAAGCAAUCUAAAGGCUUCUAGACACUGGAACAAAAUUACCUUGAGGGAUCCCUUCUCAGAUAGUUCUCUGCUGUUUUCUUUAGGGCUUCCUUUAAAAUGUGCUUCCCCUCCCAAAAGUAUUUCUGGAUGACAGGAAACAUAUCUGCAGGCACCAAAUUUCAUGGUGUUCUCUCUGUCACUGUAAACCUCUUGGUUUUCUGUAAUACAGGCUCAAAAGUGCCCUAAUUUCUUAAAUUUAGCAUGGCUGUGACACAAUAAUGGUAGAAAUCUUCAUGGCAACAGUGGAAGUGUAAUCAGAGACCCAGAGCUAGGGAAGAACACCAAACGCUGAAGCUCCAUUGUGAAGGCAAAGAAAUUAAGAUUAAUCAAUUUGUCUAGUGAAACUGGAAAAGCUCACUUUCCUCCCAUUUUCAAGAAACAUUAUUCAUUCUUCUUCUAUGUGGGCAGAGAACUUUGGACAUAUUCCAAAAUAUAUGGAGAAACAAAAUUUGUCAGGUUUACAAACAAAGGCGAGCCAAUGUUAUAGACAUCAUCAACAAGCAAUAACAGAUGAGCAACAGAUGUCAUGGUGCAGGGGACAAGGAACAUAAGCAGCCAAGAGACAUCUCUGGGCAUACCAGCCAAUCACCACUAGUUUAGAUCUCCAGGCUGCACAACUCCGUGGCUCAAGAGAAAAUGGAAUAGUGGAAGAAUGCUACUAAUGAGGAUGUUGAUCUACUAAGCAUACUGCGUGUUAUCUCUAUUACUCAUGCCUGCCCUAUCAACUACUGGACUGAGCUAAAUAUAUGUUCACCCAAUGAUCAACAGUGAACUUGAAGAACUGAUAACUCUACAAUGAAACUCCAGGUGGAUAUGCCCAGCUCUUUCCAGGUUAACCUUUGUGAAGUGUGAAAUGUAGCAGCAGGGAAUACGAGUAAGCUUUUAAGAGACAUAUCCCUUUGAUGUCUUCUUUUUCUGUUUCUGCAGGGAUCAAUUCUUUAUGUUCCUGGGCAAAACGGGCGAAGGUAGCUAAAUAAAUAAUCCUCCUUAGACAUAGAGACUCUCCCUCCCUCCAAAGAGGCUACCAAGUCAUCAUUUAUAGGAAGUUAGCUAUAAUAGCAGCUUGUUCCUUCUAACAGAGAUAUUGCUGUUUCUCUCCUUUGCACUUGCAUGGCUAUCAAUCGUAAUAGUGAAUGGUCACAUUUUCCACUUAUAGGUCUAUGAGUCUGAAAUACUUUUGCAUGUAUCAAAACACACCCGCUUUCAGAAUCAAAGAUUUAUCCAAAGACAAAACAGAGAUAAAGUCUCUAAGUGAUACAGUACAUGGUACAGAAAGAACUCCAGCAAGAUUGGAUUGUUUUAGAAAUGGAUGUGGGAGGCACAGGAAAGAUAAAUAUAUAGAACUGCAAGUCAGUUUCAUUUUAAGCAAACAUACGUUGUUUUCCAAGCCAGGAGUUGCAAAAGCAUUGAGUGGUCCAUGCAUAUUUUGCCAUAUAAAGGAGGAAUUAAUGUGGCGUUCCUCAAAGAAUUGGACUUGAUGGCCUUAAAAGUUCUAUGCUUCUUUGAUUCCACACAGCCCCAAUUCCCAUUCACACCGCAAAAUAAAGUAUAAUGAUCAACCAAUAAAGGGAUUGACAUCUUACGGCUUUGAAAGUCUGUCACAAUCACUUCCCAAGGCCCAAGCAAGAAGUAUAGAGCCACAGAUACUAGAUCAGGAUGUCUAAGUUAAAUUUUAAAAGCUCUAGCAUGUCAGUUAUUCACACAGUGGAAGUAAACAAACAUAUCUUUCAACAGAAAUAGCUAAAGGACUUUACACAUAUGUUUCCCAUCAGAAACACUUUUACUCUCUGUAUUUUCUCCUAUUCCAUGGCUUGGCCAAAGUUGCAUAACUUUUGCUCUUACCUUUAAAAAAGGAUGUUUUAUGUGCAAGAAUUCCUGGCAAUGCCCCUUCCUUAGACCUGGUAAAUUAAUUAAUAGUGUAAAUAUUUGCACUAGAAUUUAGAGCAGUGAGUAGUCUGCACUUCUGGAUGCAAAUUAUGAAUCAGAAAUUAUUGGCAUCAAAUAUAUCAGUUAAACUAAAGAGAGCAGCUGUUCCAGAUGUAAACGUAGAGGACAUACAGUUAUGAUAACGGAUUGAUACAAGGAACAGAUUCAAUAGCCUCUUAUGCAAAAGAAAAUCAGAGCUAUGGGAAUACAUAAAAGACACUGUGAAGGCUGAAGCAGAUACAAAUAUUCCCAAAGUUUCAAAGUCAAAAAGAUCCAAGUGGCUUUUAGAACAAGCUAUCAUGAUAGCAAAGAAAAAUGGAAAAUAAAAGCAUCAGUUGUUCCAAAGUCAUGCAAGAAAGGACAAGGAACUACAAUGUCAACAAGUAGGUGAUA